UCGGCCGCGUGGUUUCUCGUGAUUGUUUCCCACCUUCUCCUCCUUCCUUCCUUCCUUCCAUCUUCAUCUUCCUCCUUCUUCAUCAUCAUCGCCUCCUCUACCUUCACCUCUGUCACUCGCCUUCCCAGGUUAGACAGCAUGAUUAAUGCUGCGACCGAUCUGGAAAACGAUAAAGCGAUUAAAGAUUUGCUAUGCAUCCGAAUAGGGUCUGUUCGUGUUAAUUACUAUUUAAAAACUAUCACAUCACUCCGCGUGUCAAUGGUCGUGUUCAAAAACGUGACUCGAAUCGAGGCACAUGCAGCGACCACCGGCAACGUCCCACAUGGGUUGUAAACCCCCCUCGCCGCCCGCCUAUACGCGGUGCAGUAAGAAGAGGACUUAUUAGGCAGAUGCAUCGAUUUUCUGUUCACAUGGCACGUUAAACAUGUUCGCAGCGCGAGAAAAUGCAAAAGGUUCAUAUGCAUUUUCCUAGGGAGGCUUAGGACGGUUGAACAUACAAUUACUCAAUGACCGACCCCCUCUCUCUCUCUCUCUCACUCUCUCUCAAAAUAUGAUGCACGAUAUUUACUUGAAAGCAGCAAAUUUUCAAGGAAAGAACAAUUCCUUUUUGUCCUUUUCCUUGAAAUAUGAUACAUUAUGCUCACUUGAAACUAAGUGGUACAAAUGCAAAUGACCCUUAUUUAUCACGGACAGCUACUGCACUUGCAAAGGAAGAAAAAAGUUUGUCUCAUUUUCUAUUUAGGGUUUGCAAUAUUGUCGGGAGAUUUUGUCCUACCUUUGCCUUUACUCAGGUGAGUUGUCCCCGUCACACACAACUUGAGAAUAACGGGGUCGGAAAAUAAAUACUUUUUUCUCAA